rnacentral:rRNA from 1 species
AUGGGAACGCGAAGAACCUUACCUAGACUUGACAUCUCCUGAAUAGUGUAGAGAUACAUGAAGCCCUUCGGGGCGAGGAAGACAGGUGGUGCAUGGUUGUCGUCAGCUCGUGUCGUGAGAUGUUGGGUUAAGUCCCGCAACGAGCGCAACCCUUAUUACUAGUUGCUACCAUUAAGUUGAGCACUCUAGUGAGACUGCCCGGGUUAACCGGGAGGAAGGCGGGAGUGGACGUCAAAUCAUCAUGCCCCUUAUGUCUAGGGCAACACACGUGCUACAAUGGUGAGUACAGAUAGAUGCGAUACCGCAAGGUGGGCCAAACGUCUAAAACUCAAUCCCAGUUCGGAUUGUAGGCUGCAACUCGCCUACAUGAAGUUGGAGUUGCUAGUAAUCGCGAAUCAGAAUGUCGC